CCUACGGGAGGCAGCAGUGAGGAAUAUUGGUCAAUGGACGCAAGUCUGAACCAGCCAUGCAGCGUGCAGGAAGAAGGCUCUAUGAGUUGUAAACUGCUUUUGUACGAGGGUAAACGCAGAUACGUGUAUAUGUCUGAAAGUCUCGUACGAAUAAGGAUCGGCUAACUCCGUGCCAGAAGCCGCGGUAAUACGGAGGAUUCAAGCGUUAUCCGGAUUUAUGGGGUGUAAAGGGGGCGUUGGCGGUCGGGUAAGUUAGGGGUGAAAUCCCGAGGCUCAACGUCGGAAUUGCCUCUGAUACUGGUCGGCUAGAGAGUAGUUGCGGUAGGCGGAAUGUAUGGUGUAGCGGUGAAAUGCUUAGAUAUCAUACAGAACCCCGAUUGCGAAGGCAGCUUACCAAGCUACGUCUGACGUUGAGGCACGAAGGCGUGGGGAGCAAACAGGAUUAGAUACCCGGGUAGUC
rnacentral:rRNA from 1 species